rnacentral:rRNA from 1 species
CUUCCUACGGGGGGCAGCAGUGAGGAAUAUUGGUCAAUGGGCGAGAGCCUGAACCAGCCAAGUCGCGUGAUGGAUGACUGCCCUAUGGGUUGUAAACCUCUUUUGUAUGGGGGGAAUAAGCUUUACGAGUAGAGUGAUGACAGUACCAUACGAAUAAGCAUCGGCUAACUCCGUGCCAGCAGCCGCGGUAAUACGGAGGAUGCGAGCGUUAUCCGGAUUUAUUGGGUUUAAAGGGUGCGUAGGCGGUUUGAUAAGUUAGAGGUGAAAUGUCGGGGCGCAA